rnacentral:rRNA from 1 species
UACGAAGGGUGCAAGCGUUACUCGGAAUUACUGGGCGUAAAGCGUGCGUAGGUGGUCUGUUAAGUCUGAUGUGAAAGCCCUGGGCUCAACCUGGGAAUUGCAUUGGAUACUGGCAGGCUAGAGUGCGGUAGAGGGUAGUGGAAUUCCCGGUGUAGCAGUGAAAUGCGUAGAUAUCGGGAGGAACACCAGUGGCGAAGGCGACUACCUGGACCAGCACUGACACUGAGGCACGAAAGCGUGGGGAUCAAAAGGG